GGCAGUGUACCAUAGUGAUAAGGAGCUGGGCUCGUAACCAAGAGGUUGCUAGUUCGAUUCCCUGCUGGAUCACUGCUG